AACGAACGCUGGCGGCAGGCUUAACACAUGCAAGUCGAGCGCCCCGCAAGGGGAGCGGCAGACGGGUGAGUAACGCGUGGGAACGUACCUUUUGGUUCGGAACAACUCCGGGAAACUGGAGCUAAUACCGGAUAAGCCCUAACGGGGAAAGAUUUACCGCCGAAAGAUCGGCCCGCGUCUGAUUAGCUAGUUGGUGAGGUAACGGCUCACCAAGGCGACGAUCAGUAGCUGGUCUGAGAGGAUGAUCAGCCACACUGGGACUGAGACACGGCCCAGACUCCUACGGGAGGCAGCAGUGGGGAAUAUUGGACAAUGGGCGCAAGCCUGAUCCAGCCAUGCCGCGUGAGUGAUGAAGGCCUUAGGGUUGUAAAGCUCUUUUGUCCGGGAAGAUAAUGACUGUACCGGAAGAAUAAGCCCCGGCUAACUUCGUG
rnacentral:rRNA from 1 species